rnacentral:rRNA from 1 species
GACGUAGGGGGCAAGCGUUGUUCGGAAUUACUGGGCGUAAAGGGCGCGUAGGCGGCACAGCAAGUCGGGAGUGAAAGCCCGGGGCUCAACCCCGGAACGGCUUUCGAAACUGCUGAGCUAGAGUACAGAAGGGGCAACCGGAAUUCCCAGUGUAGCGGUGAAAUGCGUAGAUAUUGGGAAGAACACCUGAGGCGAAGGCGGGUUGCUGGGCUGAUACUGACGCUGAGGCGCGAAAGCCAGGGGAGCAAACGGG